rnacentral:lncRNA from 1 species
UUUUGAAGUCUGGCUCUCCCCGAGGGAAGCUGUGCUGGGAGCCAGGAGAGACUCCAGGAAGAUAUUGCACUACUGCAAAACACAAACACGUGUAAUCAUAAAAUGCAGCCCUGGGAAAUAGAAUAUGAUCAUCUCAGACUUAACAUUGUGGACAAUGGGAGACAGAUACUGCCUCUCCCUCUGCAUGAGAAAUCUUGUGUUCCCAAGCAAGUCUGGCAGGCACUUGGAGCUGCCUCUCUAACCUGGGACAACUCAUCCAGGCUCAGAUCUUCAAAGUCAAUGCCAGAAAUGUACCUGAAUGACUCUGAUAGUCUAUGUCUCAUCCUUAACCUGAAGAAAACAGCAUAUUCCUGUCUUAGAGAUGAUGUAGGCCAGAUGCAUUAAGGAACCAGGAGCUGAUCAAAUAUUGCAGCAAUGGAGACGGACUUUCAGCAUGUACUUUGAAAAGCCCAGCCAAAAAAAUUAAUUCCUGUUUUCAUGCAAAUGUCCUUGGUGAUUAAAAAUAAAAGAUGGAGACAGUACA